GAUUUCUGGUGUGGCGCGGCCGGCCCGCCGCCCUCUGGGUGUGUGAGUGUCGGUUCGCGUCUACCAUCCUUCUAGAGAGCGGCUCUGCCAUUCACUUGGUUGGGGUCGCGAUCUGGAUCUUUUACUUUGAAAAAAUUAGAGUGUUCAAAGCAGGCUUGCGCCACUGAAUACAUUAGCAUGGAAUAAUAAGAUAGGACUUUGGUUCUAUUUUGUUGGUUUCUAGGACUGAAGUAAUGAUUGAUAGGGAUAGUUGGGGGUGCUAGUAUUCAGCGGCCAGAGGUGAAAUUCUCGGAUUCGCUGAAGACUAACUUAUGCGAAAGCAUU
rnacentral:rRNA from 1 species